UAAUUUAUUUCCUCCCAAAUGCAAAACAUUGCCUUAGCCUAAAGGGAUGCAGUUUCUGGGAAGAUUCAAGAAAGGUGUGAAUGAGUUAUGACUUAUGAGUAUGACUCAGCACAUACUGAUAAAAUUCAAUUGUGAUGUACCUUCCAAAGAAGAAUUUUAACUGUUGGUUAUGUAGCUUGUAUAUGCCACUUUCUUUGGAAAGAUCUCUUGGUUUUAUCUGUAUUUCUCUGACAAGAAGAUAAUAUUUACAUGCAGCAAUCCAAUAAAAGAAUCAUCAUGAGCGCCUAAUGCUGUACUGAGUUAAAAUACAAAAAUUAUUAGUCCCAAAGCAUCACAUAUUUUUUAAAGCAACCUCAUAGAUAAGCUAGCUAUCAUCACGUGAAGGCGUGAAAGUCAACGUCUAUUGCCAACACAUUUUAACUUAUAUUAUUAACAUAAGACCAUGAUUGAUAUGCAGAUUCAUGCUCCUUAGUUUUAUAUUAUUAACAUAAGACCAUGAUUGAUUGCAAAGCUAGCUAAGCACUCCACCGAUACUGAAUUUUUUAUAGUUACCUUCUUUGAACCCAUCUAUUAUUGAGUUCACUACCCCCUGCAACCAUUGUUCUCUUACCUUUCUCUGCAAAUUCAUUCACUUUUCUGUUGUUGUUGAGAUCAUAUCAUGGCUGGUGCACUUGUUGGUGGAGCUUUCCUCUCUGGCUUCAUUAAUGUUGUCUUUGACAGGCUCCUUACAAAAGAUGCGGUCAACUUGGUCCUGGGAAAGAAGCUUGGCCCUGACUUGGUUGAAAGGCUGAAGACUGCUCUGUUGGGUGCUGAAGCUCUUGUUGCUGAUGCUGAGUUGAAGCAGUUCGGUAAGCCAUUGGUGAGGAAGUGGCUCGAUAGUCUCCGGGAUGCUGUUUACUGUGCUGAGGACUUGCUCGAUGCUGUCCUCCUCAAAGCCACCACUCAAAAGAAUGCAAGUUCUUCCUGGUCCCUUAGCUUCUUCAUCAACCGAGAUAGGGAGAUGGUAGACAAGAUGGAAGUGGUGGUUAGAAGAAUUGAGGAUCUUGGAAAACAAAAAGAUUUCCUUGGUCUUGAAAAGAUUCCCACUGGUAGCUCAUCAUGGAGGACUCCGUCCACUUCUCUUGUAAAAGGGCAUGUGUAUGGCAGGGAGGAUGACCAGGAGGCCUUAAAGAAGAUGCUGAAUGGCAACAAUGAGCACCACUUGUCUGUGAUUGCUAUUGUUGGCAUAGGUGGGGUUGGUAAAACAACUUUAGCCCAAUGGCUGUACAACAAUGAAGGGGAGUUCAUGAAGGGAUUUGAUCUGAAAGCAUGGGUCUGUGUUUCGGAGGAGUUUGAAGUUGUUGAGACUACAAGGAAUGUCAUAAAGCAGCUCCAUGGAGGUACUUGUAGUCUCGAUGAUUUCAAUUCACUUCAAAAUGCUUUGAAAGAAGAAUUGUCCAAUAAGAAGUUCUUUAUUGUUCUGGAUGAUGUUUGGAGUGAUGAUGGUGACAAAUGGAGUAAUUUUAUGACCCCUUUCCAACAAAAUGGGAAUAAGGGAAGUAUUGUUCUUCUGACUACUCGGGAGGAAAAUGUUGCUUCCGCAGUUCAAAAUUGUCGCCCUUAUUUUCUCAAGAAGUUGUCAGAGGAAUAUUGUUGGUCAGUGUUUGCAGAAAAUGCAUCUUUUACAGAAUCAAAUGGGAAAGCAGCACUUGAAGAAAUAGGUAGAAAGAUUGUCAAGAAGUGUGAUGGCUUGCCAUUAGCUGCAGAAACACUUGGUCGCUUGUUACGUACAAAGCAUGAUGUCGAGGAAUGGAACAAGAUACUAAUGAGUCAUAUUUGGGGAUUUUCGGUGGAGAAGAGUAAGAUUAUUCCAGCAUUACUUAUAAGUUACUUCCAUCUUCCUAUAUAUUUAAAGGGUUGUUUUGUUUAUUGUACUUUAUUUCCCAAGGAUUAUAAAUUUGUAAAAGAUCAAUUAAUCCUUUUGUGGAUAGCAGAAGAUCUUUUACCACCACCAAAGAGAGGAGAGAGUUUAGAAGAAGUUGGUUGUGAGUGUUUUGAUGAACUAACUUCCAGAUUAUUUUUCACGAAGAUUAAAGACGGUGAUGAUUAUUUUGUGAUGCAUGAUCUAUUGCAUGAUUUAGCAAUAUUCCUUGCUGGAGAUUUCUAUUGCAACUCAGAAGAACUUGGUGAAGAGGAGGAGAUAAGGAUUCAGACUCGGCAUUUGCGUGUAGAUUUACGUCGUUGUAGCUCAAAACUUUAUAAUUCUAUUUCUAAAGUAAAAUCUUUGAGAACAUUAUUGUUUAGCGGUUUCUCAUCUCCCAACUGCAACAUUGAAACGGCAACAUGUGAGAUAUUAUCAAAGUGUAAAUACUUGAGAGUUUUAUCCCUUACAAAACUUGAUGAGGUGCCUAAUUUAAUAGGAGAAUUCAUCUAUCUGCGUUACUUGGAUCUCUCUUGGACUGAUAUUAAGACAUUGCCAGAGUCUUUGUGCAACUUGUGUAAUUUGCAAACAUUGAAGUUACGUCGUUGUUAUGAGCUAACUAUGCUGCCUAGUGGUUUGCAUAAUCUUGUGAGUUUGCGCCAUCUUGAUAUUAGAGAAACUGCUUUGGAAGAAAUGCCCAGAAAAAUGAGCAAAUUGAAUCAGUUGCAUGUUUUAAGUUCCUUUGUGGUUGGCAAGCACGAAGACAAUGGAAUCCAGGAGCUAGGAGGGCUAGUGAAUCUUCACGGAUCCCUCGAGAUUAAGAAGAUGGAGAAUAUUGUUGAUGUUAAAGAAGCAAAGAGGGCAAAGAUAAUGGAUAAGAAGCACAUUGAUGAAUUAUGUUUAAAAUGGUCUUCAGGUGAAGAUUUGGUUUCAAGUACUCAAAAAGAAAGAGACAUGCUCGAUAACUUGCAACCGCAUAAAGGGUUGAAAGAGUUGAAAAUCGAGGGAUACAAGGGUACAAUAUUUCCAGAUUGGUUGGGGAACUGUUCCUACGAAAACAUGACACGUGUAUCUCUAGAGUCUUGCAAGAAUUGCUGCAUGCUGCCUUCACUUGGACAGCUGCCAUCUCUUAAGUCCCUGCGCAUUAAAGGUUUGGAUCAGCUGAGGAGUAUUGGCGAGGAGUUUUACGAGAAUGAAGGAGAUCAUCAUUCUUCGCAUAUUGCACCGUUUCCCUCACUGGAGACUUUGGUAUUUUAUAACAUGGCAUGUUGGAAGGAAUGGCACUUACCUGACUCAAAAGCUUUUCCUCAACUUAGAAAGCUUGAAAUAAGAAAUUGCCCGAUGUUGAAGGAAGAGAUGCUUAAUCGGCUAUUCUUCAGAAUAGUUUCUUCUUUGCCCACCGUGGCCAUGUAUCUUGAUGAGGAUACUUUAUCAAUUGGGGGAAGUGAAUCUGUGAUGGAGUCUGCAUUUAACGCAAAGAUCAGCAUCAACCAUCUACGUUGGCUCCCAGAAAUAUUCAUCCAGAGGUGUAGAAAACUAGAAUUCCCCCAGCUACAGCAGCAGAAAUAUGAUUUGGUAGACCUACGAAUACACAGCUGUGAUUCACUGACCUCCUUGUCGUUGGAUGUCUUUCCCAAUCUCAAGAAUCUCAACAUAUUCAGGUGUAGGAAUCUGGAAUCAGUGUCAAUGUCAGAGGCACCACACGCUGCUCUUAAAGAAGUCACCAUCAUUGAGUGCGACAAAUUAGUGUCAUUUGCAGGAGAAGGACUGGCUGCACCCAACUUGACUCAUCUUUAUGUCAGUGGGUGCUCAAAGUUGGAGGCAUUACCACGUGAUAUGAAGAGUCUACUCCCAAGUUUACAGUCCCUCGAGAUAUAUGAUUGCCCAAACAUUUGCAGAUUGCCAGAGGGUGGUUUGCAGCCUAACUUGAAAUCACUUUCUUGGGGAAUUGGUGAGCAACAAAUGAGGGAUCUAUCAUGGAUGCCCAACUUGCACGCCCUCACUCAUCUUACCAUUCAUGGUUCUUUGUGUGAGAACAUAAAGUCAUACCCAGAGGUGGGUUCGCUCCCUCACCUUCCCUCCCUUACCACUCUUCGUAUUGGAUACUUUCAUAAUCUGGAGACAUUGGAGUGCAACGAGCUUCUCCGCCUCACCUCCCUUCAACAAUUGACCAUUCGUUGGUGUCCAAAGCUGGAGAAUAUGGAAGGAGAAAAGCUGCCUCCCUCUCUCUUGCUACUCAAAAUUGAACACUGUCAUUUGCUGAAAGAACACUGCAAGAAUAAGCAUCAACAGAUUUGGCCCAAAAUUUCUCACAUCCCAACCAUUCAAGUCGUCUAAACAGAGAUUUCUGUGCAGGUAAUUCUCUAAUAUUCAUGUUUCUGUGGCAAUUGCAACUUGGUGAGCAUGUUAUGAUCAUUUUCCUUUGUGUGAGGCCCAAGCAAACACUUUUUGGAGAGUCCCUCUACAUCCCAAUUAGUGCAUUAACCUGAACAAAUGAAUGAUCGGAUGGUUAAAUUCUUUUCUGGUUUACCUGGAGUUCUUCAUUCAUAGUCCUUCAACUUUGAGGUGUGACUACAAUCCGAGCUCUCUAGCCAAAAAGUUUGUAAGCAACAGCCGUCUAUUGUCUGUUGUACCUGGAGUUCUGCAUGCAUCCUUAGUAGUGCUUGUAAGUUUUGAGACUUAUUUGUAGCUUUGAUUUGGAAAAUAGUGAAAAUUUUUACCUUCCCGUGGGUUUUUUAAUCUCACAUUGAGAGGUUUUUUCCCACAUUAAAAUUUGUUGUUCUGUUGUUCUGUCUUAUCUUCAAUUAUUUGCUGGUAUUAACUAUUGCCAUAGUGUGCUUAUACUAUGUUUGGGUGCUUCCAAAUUAUGCCUUUGACAGGUUUAGUUUAUUCCUAUCAUGAAUGAUCAUUUUACAAUGUUAAAUAUCUUGCCUAUAAAUUAUAUUGAGGUACAUUCUAUA